AGAUGAGCUUCUGGAAAAGAGGGACUGACUCAUUUCCCAAAGGAGUGCAAGGAUCAAAGCUAUUAAGUUUCUACCUUGCCAUUGCCCUUGUAAAGAAAUAAAGUGUUUUCCACUGAUAAUAGAGUUUCAGUGUCUGGUGUAGUUACCUUACGUGCUACGUGUAGGCAGGAAUUGGAAAACCUUCCAACAGCAAAUUCAUAAAGUUCAGAAGUCUCCAUGUGACAA